rnacentral:rRNA from 1 species
GAUGAACGCUGGCGGCAUGCCUAACACAUGCAAGUCGAGCGAACACACGAGGAGCUUUCUCCUCUGACGUUAGCGGCGGACGGGUGAGUAACACGUGGAUAACCUACCUCUCAGACUGGGGUAACUUCGGGAAACCAGAGCUAAUAACGGAUAAUAUAUUGACCCGCAUGGUUCCAUAGUGCAAGUCGCUUUUGCUGUCCCUUAUAGCUGGCUCCGCGCCGCAUUCGCUUGUUGGUAAGGUAACGGCUCACCCAGGCUACGAGGCGUAGCCGACCUGAGGGGGUGAUCACCCACACGGGAACUGAGACACGGCCCAGACUCCGACGGGGAGCAGCGGUAGGGAAUCUUCCGCAAGGGGCGAAUGCCUGACGGAGCAACGCCGCGUGAGUGAUGAAGGACUUCGGAUCGUAAAGUGCUGUUAUUAGUGAAGAAGAAAUGUUUAAGUAACUAUGCACGUCUUGACGGUACCGAAACAAAAAGCCACGGCUAACUACGUG